rfam:Felis catus isolate Cinnamon breed Abyssinian chromosome C1, whole genome shotgun sequence.
GUAAAUAUAGUUUAAUAAAAACAUUAGAUUGUGAAUCUAAUAAUGGAAGUGCAAGUCUUCUUAUUUACC